UACGUAGGGGGCGAGCGUUGUCCGGAAUGACUGGGCGUAAAGGGCGCGUAGACGGCUGUCUAAGUCUGGAGUGAAAGUCCUGCUUUCAAGGUGGGAAUUGCUUUGGAGACUGGAUGGCUUGAGUGCGGAAGAGGUAAGUGGAAUUCCCAGUGUAGCGGUGAAAUGCGUAGAGAUUGGGAGGAACACCAGUGGCGAAGGCGACUUACUGGGCCGUAACUGACGUUGAUGCGCGAAAGCGUGGGGAGCGAACAGGAUUAGAUACC
rnacentral:rRNA from 1 species